rnacentral:lncRNA from 1 species
CCCGGCUCGGGGAGCGGAGCCUGCCGGUACUCGUGCGGCCCUGCGGGGCUGUCCGUCUCCGGGUCGCUCCUUUGCAGCUCUUCCCGCUUCGGCUUUUCCUUCGUGUUCGCGCAGCGCUCUGUUGGCGGGGCUGGCGGACAAAGGGCGGUGUGGGAGCGGGGUUGUCGGGCUGAGCCUGGCGGGGCAGCUGCCUGAUGUGCGCCCGUCUGAGUCCUGUGCCGGGGAGAGCUGGGGAGAAAGGCGAGGCUUUGUGCUUUGGAGCCCCGUCCUGCGGCCUCGCUGGGCGGUGAGGGGCCCGUCCUGUGCUGGGGAGGGCGUGGGAGAGCACAGGGAGACCAGCGGCAGGGAGAGCUGCAGGGAGCAGCACGCCAGCACUGUUUCCUAGAACCUGUCGCUUACUGUGCAGGCUGAACAAAUGCCUAGUUUCACUGGGCCCAGGUGAGAACAUCUGAUUAGGAGUUCUCAUCUAAAUAAGGUAUGAAAUUCCCAACCAGCUCUCCAGUGAGGGCUGAAUACAUGUGAAGAGAGCAGCAAAAUGUGUGUACCUCCAUCGAAUCUCUGUAGGCAGCACAGUGCUUGGGAAAAGCUUUACCUGGUGUUCAUCAUGAGUAGGAGUCGUCCCCACCUGUGAAGCCUGGGUUCCUGAUGGAGAAGUUGCUGAUCCUCCUCACCUGUGUCAUCCAAGUGGUUUAGAGGAAUCAUGCCAUCGGACACAGAUCAGUAAUGCUUGUUGCUUGAUCCAACUGCUGUAUAGCUGAUGAAUUCAUGGAUUUAAGACAAAUAAUCCGUAUUUCAUUACUAGCAAGUGCUAGAAAUAAAAAUGUACUCUGCACUAUUGCUUGGAAAAACAAAUCCUGAAGUCGUAAGAGAGGAUUAAAGUUGAAAAAAAAUCUCUCAAGAGAAAAACGAAGGGAGUAAUGACAUCUGCUUAGCAGCAUCCAGCCCCUCAGCCUGCAGCACGGACCUCUGGAGCCCUUACACACGGAAUAAAAGGGGAUGCAGUGAGUGAGGAGCAGCAGAACUGCAAGCAGAGCAGCGCUACUGGUGUAAGAUGGCAUUAGGAAGAGUGGAGUUUUGUUAAUGGGUCAUGGAAACUGCUGCUCUGCAUGCCAUAAAACAGCAAUCCGAAGGGUUUGCUCUGAAAGCAUCUCUUUGUGCCCUGGGCCAGUGACCCCACUGCUGUGCCAGUGAAUCAUGGCAAGCUGGAGGAAUCUCCCUGAUUUCUGAGCUCCUAAUCCCGCAAAGCCUGUAAAUGAUGGCUGGCUUAGCUUUGUUUCUGAUAAAACGAGGCUUAUGA